rnacentral:tRNA from 2 species
GUGGCUAUAGCUCAGUAGUAGAGCACCUGUUUUGUAAACAGGGGGUCGGGGGUUCAAAUCCCUCUAGUCACU